AAAAAAAAAAUGCACAAACUUGAGUUUCGAGACAACGCUGCCAAAUUGUCGGUAUGCGAGCAUCGAGUGAAGAUUGCAAUAAUAAUGUCGUUAUUAAAAAUAAUGAUUGGAGAAAUGUUGUGAUAUCAUCUCUGGUACUUGUUUUCCCAAAUACACCAUAAAUACGGUAUUAAAAAGAUGGAUAUACUCCGUACAAUGGGUGGGAUUAUCACUGUUUUAGGUGAAAAGUUGGGAAGCUAAGAUAUAACGGGGAAUUUAAUGUACAUUUAUACGUUGCGACUAAUCAUUUCUAAUGAAAAACAGUUCUGAACGGAGUUCGGUUGUAUGUGUUAUAAAAGACCGUAAUAUUUAUUAUUUUCCCUAAUCUCUGCUGAUUACACUGUUUAAGUAGGUAUGUAAACUCUCGAUAUUUCUAGGUGUCGGAAAAUGGAUUAGGGGUCAAGGCACAAUAUUUCACAGUUGCCCAUCGUUCCCUUUAAAAAUAUGAUUAAUUCGCAUUAUGGUCAUUGCACAUUAUCGACUUUUCUUCUUAAAAUAUUAAUUUUAAAUUUCCCUCCUUCUCUCCAUUGUUUCUAUCCGGUG